rnacentral:rRNA from 1 species
AGCGAACGCUGGCGGCAGGCCUAACACAUGCAAGUCGAACGAACCCUACGGGGUUAGUGGCGGACGGGUGAGUAGCACGUGGGAACGUGCCUUUAGGUUCGGAAUAACUCAGGGAAACUUGUGCUAAUACCGAAUGUGCCCUUCGGGGGAAAGAUUUAUCGCCUUUAGAGCGGCCCGCGUCUGAUUAGCUAGUUGGUGAGGUAAUGGCUCACCAAGGCUACGAUCAGUAGCUGGUCUGAGAGGAUGACCAGCCACAUUGGGACUGAGACACGGCCCAAACUCCUACGGGAGGCAGCAGUGGGGAAUCUUGCGCAAUGGGCGAAAGCCUGACGCAGCCAUGCCGCGUGGAUGAUGAAGGUCUUAGGAUUGUAAAAUCCUUUCACCGGUGAAGAUAAUGACUGUAGCCGGAGAAGAAGCCCCGGCUAACUUCGUGCCAGCCGCCGCGGUAAUAC